GUUGCAUGUAGGUGAUUUUCCCUCUCACACCCUUUUGUCACGAUCAGUAACAUGACGAGGCACGACAUGCUGGUGAAAUUUCUGGGUUCUUUUGCCGGCAUUUUGUAAAUUAUUUAGAGGAUGAUAAGUAUUGGUCUUGGUGGAAUUCCUGGUAUUAUAAAUUAAUUAUAGUAUUUGUUAGGCCGAUGAGAUGGCUUGUAGUGGUAAUCGAGAGCACAAUUUUGGUUGGUUAAAUAAUUAUUUUGUACAUAUUCUUUUUGAAAAUGAAUGAAUGCAUUAAUUCUUUAGAUUGUCUCUUGAUUAAUUGUGCAAAUCAAUGUGGAACAUCUUGGUAAUGUUUUUGCCAAGAUGAUUCAAUUAGCCAAGAUUGUAGUUCUCAUUUGAGUACUUGCAUAGUUGUUGCAUUAUUACACACCCUAUUCUGAGUUGAGUAAAGAUACUUGUUCAUACUUGCAUUCAUAUGCUUCUGAACAUGCCUUACAG
rnacentral:lncRNA from 1 species